rnacentral:rRNA from 1 species
CCUACGGGAGGCAGCAGUCGAGAAUCAUUCACAAUGGGGGAAACCCUGAUGGUGCGACGCCGCGUGGGGGAAUGAAGGUCUUCGGAUUUUAAACCCCUGUCAUGUGGGAGCAAAUUAAAAAGAUAGUACCACAAGAGGAAGAGACGGCUAACUCUGUGCAAGCAGCCGCGGUAAUACAGAGGUCUCAAGCGUUGUUCGGAAUCACUGGGCGUAAAGCGUGCGUAGGCUGUUUCGUAAGUCGUGUGUGAAAGGCGCGGGCUCAACCCGCGGACGGCACAUGAUACUGCGAGACUAGAGUAAUGGAGGGGGAACCGGAAUUCUCGGUGUAGCAGUGAAAUGCGUAGAUAUCGAGAGGAACACUCGUGGCGAAGGCGGGUUCCUGGACAUUAACUGACGCUGAGGCACGAAGGCCAGGGGAGCGAAAGGGAUUAGAUACCCUGGUAGUC